rnacentral:rRNA from 1 species
GAUGAACGCUGGCGGCGUGCCUAAUACAUGCAAGUCGAGCGAACGGACGAGAAGCUUGCUUCUCUGAUGUUAGCGGCGGACGGGUGAGUAACACGUGGAUAACCUACCUAUAAGACUGGGAUAACUUCGGGAAACCGUAGCUAAUACCGGAUAAUAUUUUGAACCGCAUGGUUCAAAAGUGAAAGACGGUCUUGCUGUCACUUAUAGAUGGAUCCGCGCUGCAUUAGCUAGUUGGUAAGGUAACGGCUUACCAAGGCGACGAUGCAUAGCCGACCUGAGAGGUUGAGCAGCCACACUGGAACUGAGACACGGUCCAGGCUCCUGCGGGAGGCAGCAGUGGGGAAUAUUGGAUAAUGGGCGCAAGAUUGAUGCAGCAAGGCCGCGGGUAUGAAGAUGGCUUUCGGUUUGUAAAGUACUGUCAGCGGGGAGGAAGAGAGUAACCUUGAUAAAUUCGCUCAUUGACGUUACCUGAAGAAGAAGCAACGGCUACCUCCGUG